UCUUUGGCAGUUAGAAUAUAUUAAAAUUAGAACAAUACAGAGAAGAUUAACAUGGACCAUGCAUAAGGAGGACACGCAAAUUUGUGAAGCGUUCCAUAUUUGG